rnacentral:rRNA from 1 species
GGACCCGCACAAGCGGUGGAGCAUGUGGUUUAAUUCGAUGCAACGCGAAAAACCUUACCUACUCUUGAAAUACUUGGGAGCUCUUGUAAUGAGAGUGUGCCUUUUGGAACCAAGAUACAGGUGCUGCAUGGCUGUCGUCAGCUCGUGUCGUGAGAUGUUCCGUUAAGUCGGAUAACGAGCGCAACCCUUACCCUUAUUUGCCAGCGAUUCGGUCGGGAACUAUAAGGGGACUGCCGGUGAUAAACCGGAGGAAGGUGAGGACGACGUCAAGUAUCAUGGCCCUUACGAGUAGGGCUACACACGUGCUACAAUGGGGAAUACAGACGGACGCUAAGCCGCGAGGUGGUG